AGUAUGUGUGUAAGAGUGUGUUAGAAUUUAGAUUAUUGAAAGAGAGAUAAUUGGAGAGUUGAAAGCCCACCACUUCUCAUAUUCAGGCUUGGGUUUGUAACAGUUUUUUGGGAGUUUUGAGAAUUUUUUAGUAGGCAAAUCUUGCAGUCCUUUUUUAAUUUUUUGCGUAAAACACUUAAUUUUGGAUUUGCAUUUUGUGCAUUAUCCUCAUAUUUAAUCUUUCAUUAGCCUAUGUUCCUCUUUCUUUU
rnacentral:misc_RNA from 1 species